rnacentral:rRNA from 1 species
UAGGGAAUCUUGCGCAAUGGGCGAAAGCCUGACGCAGCGACGCCGCGUGAGUGAUGAAGGCCUUCGGGUUGUAAAGCUCUGUUCUGUGGGAACAACACAAUGAGUGUACCACAGGAGAAAGGACCGGCUAACUUCGUGCCAGCAGCCGCGGUAAUACGAGGGGUCCAAGCGUUGUUCGGAAUUAUUGGGCGUAAAGCGGGUGUAGGUGGACUUGUAAGUCAGAAGUGAAAGCCCCGGGCUCAACCCGGGAAGUGCUUUUGAUACUGCUUGUCUUGAGUGUGGGAGAGGAUAGUGGAAUUCCUGGUGUAGUGGUGAAAUACGUAGAUAUCAGGAGGAACACCGGUGGCGAAGGCGGCUAUCUGGCCCAACACUGACACUCAGACCCGAAAGCGUGGGGAGCAAACAGG